AUGAACUUUUGCAGGAACGGAAUGGGGCUUGUAUUGUGGCAUUCAUUGUUUCUCUUCUUAUGUUUGGUUUCCUCGUCAUGGAGUUUGAAUUCAGAUGGUCGUGCCCUUCUUGCUCUGUCCAAAAAUCUCAUAUUGCCUAGUUCCAUAAAGUCAAGUUGGAAUGCUUCUGAUACAACCCCAUGUAACUGGACUGGAAUUAGUUGUGAUAAAAGGAACAAUGUGGUUUCUCUUGACCUAACAUUGUCUGGAGUUUCUGGUUCACUAGGAGUUCAUAUAGGGCUUCUAAAGUACAUAAAAGUCAUCAAUUUGCCGAGCAAUAACAUAUGUGGUCCAAUCCCCCAAGAAUUGGGCAAUUGUAGCAUGCUUGAACAGUUGGAUGUUUCCGGGAACUUCCUUUCUGGUGAAAUACCAGAAUCGCUUGGCAACCUCAAAAAACUAUCAUACCUCUCGUUGUACAAUAACUCCCUCAGUGGGGAAAUACCAGAGGGGUUGUUCAAGAACCAGUUUCUGCAGGACGUGUUCCUCAAUGAGAAUAAACUCAGUGGUUCUAUCCCUUCAUCAGUUGGUGAAAUGACAAGCCUUAGAUCAUUUUGGUUGACGCAGAAUGCAUUAUCUGGAGGUCUGCCAGAUUCAAUUGGCAACUGCACCAAGUUGGAGGAGCUCUAUCUGCUGGAUAAUCGGUUGAGCGGGAGCCUUCCGAAAACCUUGAGCUAUGUCAAAGGACUGAAAGUUUUAGAUGCCACUGGAAAUAGCUUCACCGGAGAGAUUGAUUUCAGUUUUGAGAACUGCAAGUUGGAGAAAUUCAUAUUCUCGUUCAAUCAGAUGAGGGGCGGUAUUCCAGCGUGGCUAGGUAAUUGCAGUAGCUUGACAGAACUUGCACUUGUCAACAACAGUUUCUCUGGCCAAAUUCCGCCUUCUCUUGGCCUAUUGAGCAACCUCACCUUGCUUAUGCUUUCUCAAAACUCCUUGUCUGGCCCAAUCCCUCCUGAGAUUGGUAAUUGUCGGUUGCUGGAGUGGCUAGAGUUGGAUCAUAACAUGCUGGAGGGCACUGUUCCUAAAGAGCUGGCUAAUCUGAGACACUUGCAGAAGCUCUUUCUUUUCGAGAAUCGCCUGACCGGGGAGUUUCCUGAGGGUAUUUGGAGCAUCCGGUACCUUCGAAGUGUUCUUAUUUACAGCAAUGGUUUUACUGGGAAGCUACCUCUUAAGUUAGCUGAAUUGAAGUUAUUGGAGAACAUCACAUUGUUCGAUAAUUUCUUCACUGGAGUCAUACCCCUGGGUUUGGGUGUUAAUAGCCCUUUACAGCAAAUUGAUUUCACUAACAACAGUUUUACCGGUGGAAUACCUCCGUACAUUUGUUCAAGGAAAAGACUCAGGGUGUUGGUUUUGGGUUUCAAUCUUCUGAAUGGUAGCAUCCCAUCCAAUGUUGCAGACUGCCCAGGCUUGCAACGGAUCAUUCUCAGAAACAAUGAUCUUACUGGGCCCAUUCCACAUUUUAGAAACUGUGCAGCUCUGGGCUAUACAGAUUUCAGUCAUAAUUCUUUAAGUGGAGAUAUUCCAGCAAGCUUGGGCAAAUGCAUAAAUACUACAAUGAUAAACUGGUCAGCAAACAAACUUGUUGGUCCAAUACCACCUGAAAUUGGAAACUUGGUGAAUUUGGGAGUUCUUAACCUCUCACAAAACAGUCUCCAGGGUGCACUUCCAGCGCAGGUUUCUAGUUGCUCCAAGCUGUAUAUUCUGGAUUUGAGUUUCAACUCUCUGCAUGGUUCGGCACUCACGACAGUAAGCAGCCUGAAGCUUCUCGCACAACUACGGUUGCAGGAGAAUAAAUUCAGUGGGGGCUUACCUGAUUCUCUUUCGCAGUUGGUUAUGCUUCUUGAGCUGCAACUUGGUGGCAACAUUCUUGGAGGCAGCAUCCCUUCGUCGUUAGGAAAGUUGAUCAAACUCAUUGCAUUGAAUCUCAGCAGCAACGGACUGGUGGGUGAUCUUCGAACACCAUUGGGCAAUUUGGUGGAACUGCAAAGUUUAGAUUUGUCAGUUAAUAACCUCACUGGAGGUCUUGGCGCAUUAGGAAGUCUACAUUCAUUGCAUGCCUUGAAUCUUUCCUAUAAUAGGUUCAGUGGACCAGUGCCAGAAUAUCUUCUGAAAUUUCUGAACUCCGCACCAAGCUCUUUUAAUGGAAAUUCGGGUCUCUGUAUCUCUUGCCGUGACAGUGAUUCUUCUUGCAAGAGAUCUAAUGUGCUGAAACCUUGUGGAGGAUCAGGGAAAAAAGGAAUAAAGCGUCGAUUCAAGGUUGCUCUUAUUAUUCUUGGUUCAUUGUUCAUUGGAGCAGUAGCGGUACUUAUCCUCUGCUGUAUCCUUCUAAAGAAUCGAGAUUCGAAGACAAAAAGUGAGGAGACAAUCAGUAAUUUGCUUGAAGGCUCUUCUUCUAAAUUGAAUGAGAUCAUAGAAAAGACAGAAAACUUUGAUGACAAGUAUAUCAUAGGCGCAGGUGCUCAUGGGACUGUGUACAAGGCAAUAUUGAAUUCAGGGGAGGUCUUUGCUAUAAAGAAGCUUGCGAUUUCCGCGCGCAGCAGUUCCUACAAAAGCAUGGUCAGAGAACUGAAGACGCUUGGUAAAGUUCGGCACAGGAACUUGAUAAAGCUGAAAGAAUUUUGGGUGAGAGGCGACUCUGGGUUCAUACUGUAUGACUUUAUGGAGCAUGGUAGCCUCUAUGAUGUCCUGCACAGGAUCCGGACGCCGAGUCUGGACUGGAGCAUGCGCUAUAACAUAGCUCUUGGAACUGCCCAUGGUCUGGCAUAUCUUCACCAUGACUCUGUCCCUGCGAUCAUUCAUCGAGAUAUUAAGCCGAGCAACAUAUUGCUGAACAAGGACUUGGUGCCGCGCAUCGCAGAUUUCGGCAUAGCGAAGAUCAUGGAUCAGUGUUCAGCUGCUCCACAGACCACCGGGGUCGUCGGCACAACUGGAUAUAUGGCACCAGAGCUGGCAUUUUCCACCAGAAACAGUAUCAAGACCGACGUGUACAGCUACGGCGUUGUCCUGCUCGAGCUGAUAACGGGAAAGACGGCAGUGGAUCCCUCGUUCCCGGAGAACAUGGACAUUGUCGGCUGGGUGCCCCACGCCCUGAACGGCGCUGAGCAGAUCGGGCCCGUCUGCGACCCGGCCCUCCUGGACGAAGUGUACAGCACUGUCGAAAUGGAGGAGGUGCGCAAGGUCCUGCGCCUGGCCCUCAGGUGCACGGCGAAGGAGCCGAGUCAACGACCGUCCAUGGUCGAUGUCGUGAAGGAGUUGACUGACGCGAGGUUUGCGGGCAUCCCUUCAUCGUCGAAGCAGGGGAAGCCUGGCUCCUCCUCCGGCGGCGGCUCUUCUUGA
rnacentral:rRNA from 1 species